rnacentral:rRNA from 1 species
CGAUGACCGCUUUCGGGCGGGGAUUAGUGGCGAACGGGUGAGUAACACGUGGGCAAUCUGCCCUGCACUCUGGGACAAGCCCUGGAAACGGGGUCUAAUACCGGAUAUGACUGUCCAUCGCAUGGUGGAUGGUGUAAAGCUCCGGCGGUGCAGGAUGAGCCCGCGGCCUAUCAGCUUGUUGGUGAGGUAGUGGCUCACCAAGGCGACGACGGGUAGCCGGCCUGAGAGGGCGACCGGCCACACUGGGACUGAGACACGGCCCAGACUCCUACGGGAGGCAGCAGUGGGGAAUAUUGCACAAUGGGCGAAAGCCUGAUGCAGCGACGCCGCGUGAGGGAUGACGGCCUUCGGGUUGUAAACCUCUUUCAGCAGGGAAGAAGCGAAAGUGACGGUACCUGCAGAAGAAGCGCCGGCUAACUACGUGCCAGCAGCCGCGGUAAUACGUAGGGCGCAAGCGUUGUCCGGAAUUAUUGGGCGUAAAGAGCUCGUAGGCGGCUUGUCACGUCGGUUGUGAAAGCCCGGGGCUUAACCCCGGGUCUGCAGUCGAUACGGGCAGGCUAGAGUUCGGUAGGGGAGAUCGGAAUUCCUGGUGUAGCGGUGAAAUGCGCAGAUAUCAGGAGGAACACCGGUGGCGAAGGCGGAUCUCUGGGCCGAUACUGACGCUGAGGAGCGAAAGCGUGGGGAGCGAACAGGAUUAGAUACCCUGGUAGUCCACGCCGUAAACGGUGGGCACUAUGUGUGGGCAACAUUCCACGUUGUCCGUGCCGCAGCUAACGCAUUAAGUGCCCCGCCUGGGGGAGUACGGCCGCAAGGCUAAAACUCAAGGGAAUUGACGGGGGCCCGCACAAGCGGCGGA